GUUUGUAAAUAUAUAGUGCCCGUGCGGCAUGGGGGCACUCUAAAUAUGCGACGAGCCGAAAGUCCUCUCGAGAGGUUGAUGGUACGGAAAGGAGGGGCUCAAUUCUUUUGCCAACGGCAGGCGUAAGCUUGCGCUUCUUGCCAGGAGGAAUUUCGUGGGCUUGGACUAACUACAAUCAGCAACAACAGUAAAACUUGUAGUCUGAAAUGCUUCUGACAAGAAUAUGGCAAGUCAGCAUGAAAUUUAAAAUUUUGAAGAUGGAAUGAUACCAAAGAAUGAAAGAUACAAUUUCUGAGAAGUUUUUUGGAUAUUCUAAUACUCUCUGAUUGGCAGUGUUACAGACGUCCAUGAUUACUCUAUGGAUAAUCAUCUGUUUUGGACAGUACAGUGCUAGAAAUGAGUAACUAAUGAUCUUUACCCACACCUGAUCAGAAUUGGGAAUUUAACAUCAAUGUUAUGAGGUUAGGAAGACUCAGGAGACUGCUGGGGUGUAGACACCAGACAGGACCACAAGAUGUUAACCUACUUUCUGUGUAAAUACAAGAAUGAACACAAAACAAUUAAGCUGCCUGCUUACAAUGUUGAAUAUAGCAUUGGGUUAAUAUUUCUCAAUGAUUCUUAUGUUUUUUCAAUGUCUUCACUGACUUGACUUCAAUGCCAUUUUUUGAAUGAAUUAUUUUUUGUAGGUAAGCUGAACAUGGAUUAAAUAUUUUUAUAGCUGA